rnacentral:rRNA from 1 species
UACGUAGGUGGCAAGCGUUGUCCGGAUUUACUGGGCGUAAAGGGAGCGUAGGUGGAUAUUUAAGUGGGAUGUGAAAUACUCGGGCUUAACCUGGGUGCUGCAUUCCAAACUAGAUAUCUAGAGUGCAGGAGAGGAAAGUAGAAUUCCUAGUGUAGCGGUGAAAUGCGUAGAGAUUAGGAAGAAUACCAGUGGCGAAGGCGACUUUCUGGACUGUAACUGACACUGAGGCUCGAAAGCGUGGGGAGCAAACAGG